AAGAGUAUAUGUGAGCAGGUUUAACCCGUUCAUCCCAAUUUACAUUUCUAUAAUGCUGAAAAGAAAAUUUCAUCUUAAUCUCUACUUUAAAUUAAAAUUCAACCCAUCACACUCAAGAGGUCACCCCUCCCUCCGUUUGAGCUUCCGUUCCCCCGGUGUACGGCCGGUGAAUGCUUCUCAAAAGCACACACAACUAUCGUCCAACCUCUCGGUUCGCCGGACGGUAGGGUGAAAACGGCGCGGUGCAGGUGUAUGCAGGGAACGCUCCACAAGCCCCGCCUUGGCAACCACCCGGACGUUCAGUCAACAUCCUUCCCGGGGACAGUUGCUGCCCAGUUGCUUUCCAUUCGCAUUGGAUCAGCCCACC